CACCCCCACUCUCCUGUCUCUCUCCCAAACCUCAAUCCUAGCCGCACUAAAUUUCCCCCACUGGCUCCGCCGCCAGUAAUCGCCUCACGGCGGCGGAGCACUUUCAAAUCGAACCAAACUCACCCCAGACUAUAUCCUUCUUCCCAUCAACCCCCAAUCUCUCACUAAUUUCCCCAAAAUACCUCUCAAAUUUGACUAAUUUCAGAUCUAAAAAUCUGAAAACCCUAAAGAAAAUCACACGGGACGAAUUCAAGCAAACAUAUGGCUCAAACCUACUGGCAAUAAGGCAAAGAAGUUUCAGAGUUGGAAUUGAAGGCUUGACUUGUGGGAAGCAGCUCUAUAGCUAAACUUCUUGCAAGCUGAAGCUGGUUCGAAAGAUUUUGUAAUAGCUGGAAGGCUCAGAAUUAAGAAGAAAAUUACUCUUAGCUUAAACUUUUCUUUCUAAGACAGAUAGUUGUAUUUAGAAGUAUAUUGUAGUUGAUGGACUGUCAAAACCAUUUAGAAUGUCUUACUUUCGAGCUUGAUUAUGUAUGACUACUAGUUUAAGUUCAUAACAGGAUGCUUUACUUUGUAAUAAGCAUAACCCCCAUAUUUGUAGAACUGUUUGAAUACAGUUUGGGCCAGACUUGCGAAAACCAA